GGGUAUGGACGGCGCAAAUGGCGAGGAGAGGGGAGGGACAUUCUCGUCCGCCGACGAGGGGCCAUGCUAAUCGCGGCGUCAGGAUUCGGCUGCUCUGACGAUGGUGGCACAAAUUAGCGACUGUGUUGAGACCGGAUAGUGUUUUUUCUGGGGGGGGAUGCUGCUGUUUGUAGAGGAGCAGUUGCACUCUGCGCCGUGUUUCUUUGGUCGUAGUGGAUGCGUGGGCGUGUUUUAUGCAUCACGAAUAUGUCUCGCUGCUGCGUUCCCUGAACUCUCUCGGCUUAUGAGUCUCUGAACGAAUCAUUUAGCGAAUCUACCUUACCAUUGUAAAUUCGUUUGCUGGAUGGACGUAAUUCGAUGCUCGGGUUCUGAAAAAGAACUGCAGGAAUAUGUUAACCUUAUGUUGUACUUCAAGACGAUUUUAUUUCUACCAAAUGCUUGCGAAGAGGUUAUUGCCAUAACGAAGGCAGUUGAAAGGACGUCGUAAGGAAAUGCUUCUAUGAAGCGUGCCGGGUUCUCCUCCACAGAUGUAGCCGUUGCUCUGUUGGAUUCUGUUCGGGGAAAAUGUCCAGUUUAAGUUCAAUUCCGGGAGGAUGCGUAAUUUAAGAUAGUUCAGGGCCAUGCUUCUGGAAGGCAAGACCAACUAGUUUCAUUUUCAAAGCAUUGUCAAAAUAUUUUCAAGUGCAAGUCCUCAAACAGUCGCUGCCGAUCUGGAAGUACAGCUGAAUAUAUACCUCCCUGUGUAUAGCCUUGGGGAGGAUCAUCUAUCGUGUUAUACAGUGGAUGGUGUACCGAAGGCAGAGAGAGCACUACAAGAACCUAACCCUAGCAUAAUGUUUUCGUGAAAAAUGACAGGACCUGGUAUAAAGAGUCUCCUAGGUAUCUUUUAUUAAGUCUGGUUCUCGCGCUCAUUGAUGAUUCUUUUCGCACGAAACGUGUCGAGAUUAUGGUUAUAGCAAUCUACAUUUCUGUGAAUCGUGUUAACUCUCAGACCUACGCCAGCUUGUUCAGAAGCCAAAGGAUGUAAAUGUAAGGGCAAAUGCGGUAAGGGUUGGAAGCUUUCAUCAUGCGCACCAGCAUGUGAACUUGUGUGUGGAGGUUUCUGCCUUCUUUUGAAUUUACUAGUGCCAUCAUAUGCAGCACUUACAUUUUUGUCACCA